AUGUGAGCAGUUUUGUUGUCAUCGAUAAAUAUGUGACAGCUAUCGAUUCAGCUGCAGCUGUAAAUAUCACAACAAAAUGCAAAACAAAAUAUAAAAGAAAACGCUGAUAGCAGGCGGCGUGAGCUGGCGACGUGCGAUGUUUCAAUUAGAUAAGAACACAAAACCAAACUGAGCGUCACUCACGUCUCACAACACAAACACAAAGAUAACUGUAUAUGCAAAGCACUGCAGCUUUCAGCGCAAGCAGAACUUCACAUUGUGGCACCCCCGCGUAUAACAGUAUAACCAAAAUCAAAGACUGUAGUACACUGUUCACAUAGUGUAAAUAUUGAUAUUAUUUUAUUGACGUCACACACGGGGUGGGUAAAUCACGAAAUUCGGUAUAUCUUUUGCAGAUUUUGAGUUAUUGACUGAAUUUGACAGAACUGCACAGCGACUUGCACGUCCUGACGUCUUAUCAGCGGGAUUUCUACGGCGCCAAUUCUGCGUAAAUACGUAUCUAAAAAUAACAAACACAGCGCAUCGCACAUGACAGCAUUAACAUUAAGCGAUGAAUCAGCGCAAAAGUUGCAAGGCGGUUAAAAAGAGAAGGAAAGAAAACCCUAACAAUAACCUGCUGUCAGCCAGAUACCAUAAAGACAACCGUGUGUCCGUGUGUGUGUGUGUAGGUAAACAAUUAGAGAUGAACAGUAGGUAGAAAAGAAGCAACAAACAGACAAAAAUGCCAUUUAAAUGACACUUUCAAUGGUGAAAAGCACUCACACACACAUGCACAUUAAAAAUGGAGUCGCGCCCCAGCAAACAGACAAAUCAUAAGCAGUUGGGCAAAAGGCGCACAGCAACAGUGGAACUGAAAUUUUCUCUAGCUCGCUAACAAAAUAAAUGACAAAAUUUUGUUUCGUUGUUAGUUUUGCUUUCUUCAAAUAGUAGACAAUUAUUAUUGUGCCUAUUAUAAUAGCUGCUGCCGUCUUGCCUUGCAGUUAUCUACAUUCUGUCUGCUUCUCUCACUAUUUUCUGCGCUUUCUUUUGAUGUUGUCCAACACGCACCUACAACAACAAGAUUUUAUCUAUACGUAUGAGUGUGUGUUUGUGUAUGUAUUUGACCUGUGAAGCUGGGCCAAUUCUAACCUCAAAACUGGUCAAGCUUUAUAAAUGCAC